GCGAAGAGAGAGAGAGAGACCUACAGUUUCUUUUGCUCUCUAUGUUUUCCAUUUUUUUCCUCUCUGGUAAAUGCUGAUACAUUUGGUGAAGACCAUCGAGAUCACUUCUUUACUGAGCUCAGAUUUCUGAUUGAUAAAAGGAGUAGCGAUCAUGGCACUCUUGAGGUCAAUCAAAAGGGCUAUAGUUGAUGAUCCCAUCACUGUUUGAUCAAGGUGGGGAAAAAAAUCUCAGACCUUAUUCGAGAUUCAGGCAACCAGACGUCUGGUUCAGAGCAGGGCAGGUGGCAAACAGAACUUACCCAAGUAGCAAUAGAGUUUAUUGAGUUUUGAUGUGAUGGAACCAACAGGAGAUUCUAAUAGUAGGUCACAGGACAUUGCUUCAUGGCCUAGUGCCGUUUCUCAUUACAUGUUGGAGUGUAUAUUGAAGCAGUAUAAGAGUGGUAAGAGUGGAGAUAAUAGACUGAAAAAAGAGCAGUUCAUUGAAAUUGCCAACCAACUGAAAGAGAAAUUAUUUACUAGUUACGAAUGUGAACAAGUGAGAAAUUACUUCCGGGUUUGGAAGCAAAGGCUUAGAGCAUUGGGUGACCUACAGAAGCAAAGUGGAUUGGGUUGGAAUGCAUCUGAUAUGAGAUUUGAUGCUCCUCAAUACUUCUGGAAUGACUAUAGGGUAUAAUGGAAUUUUUUAAAUUAUAAUUUCUAUAUAAUUGUGUUCUUUUUUUUCUUACUUACAACAUAAGCACAUUGACAUUGUCCUUUAUAUUGCUAGAAAAAAGAACAAAAGCAUUGGAAGGAACAUAGUGUGCUCCCAAUUCACCUUGAAGUUGGAGCUUUGCUAAGGAAAGAGAUGGCAACUGGGAAUGAUUCAACAAUCCCCUCUGAAGCUGCCACUGAAGUUAUGAUGGACGUGACAGGUACUCAGGUUGAGGGAAUAGGGAACAAUGAUGGUGUUGACUAUGAACCUAUUGAAGAAGAAGAAAGUGUUCCUUCCACUCCCAUUGGUAGUACUAGCCGUUCUCGAGGAAGACCUCGUGGGUCCGUCAAUAGUGGUAGAGAAAAGAGGAAGAAGGGUGCAACUGAAAAGGUGGUAAGUCCAUUGAAAUCGAUUGCUAACUCAAUCGAUUUGAUGGUAAUGAGUGAAUCUCAGUAUAAAUUUGGGAGAGCAAUUUUAGAUGUUGUUGAUACCAUUCCAUACCUCAAUUUUCAACAAAAGUUUAAGGCCAAGGAAUAUUUCAUGGCCAAGAAGAAUUCUGCCAUUAUCUUCUUGGAAACAAGAGUAGAAGAUAGGCGAAAUCUACUUGAGAUGUACUUGCCAGAGAUUGAGAAGAAUUGAGGUGACAAUAGGAAGUGUGAAGAAUUCGAAGACAAUGGUUUUUUGAAUAGAAAUUUGAUGUGUUUGGUUGAUGUAACUUGAUAUUAUGUUAAGUCUGUGACAGUAUUUUCUAUGCAUAUUUCAUCUCUUGAAAAUGUUUGUGUUAACUUACAGAUGACAUCGAAUGUAUCCGCUUGUGCUAUUGCGAAGUGUGAUUACUGUGGUAAAGAUAGUUCAAUUUUCACUUCUAAGUCAGGGUCACAUGUUGGAAGGAAAUUUUUUAAAUGUUCAUUGAAUUGCCCCUUCUUCAUGUGGGUUGACCAUCUUAAGAUGUGUGAGUGUGGGAACGGUCAAUGUAAGGUUAGAACUGCGAAGACAAGUGUAAAUUAUGGUCGAUAUUUUUGGUGUUGUCCACAAUCAACUGGGGUUGAAAACAAAGGUUGUGGAAUGUUCGAAUGGAUAUCAAAUUCAAGCCCAAGUUGUCAUACUUACCAGACUCCACCUAGGUUACUAUGCUCGAAAACCUUAACUUCAUCAUCUCCUUCCCCUUCAUCAGACUAUAUCAAAGGAUACUUGAACGGUGCAAUAAAAGAAUCGGAG